rnacentral:rRNA from 1 species
GCUUAACACAUGCAAGUCGAGGGGCAGCACAGGUAGCAAUACCGGGUGGCGACCGGCGCACGGGUGAGUAACGCGUAUGCAACUUGCCUAUCAGAGGGGGAUAACCCGGCGAAAGUCGGACUAAUACCGCAUGAAGCAGGGGCCCCGCAUGGGGAUAUUUGCUAAAGAUUCAUCGCUGAUAGAUAGGCAUGCGUUCCAUUAGGCAGUUGGCGGGGUAACGGCCCACCAAACCGACGAUGGAUAGGGGUUCUGAGAGGAAGGUCCCCCACAUUGGUACUGAGACACGGACCAAACUCCUACGGGAGGCAGCAGUGAGGAAUAUUGGUCAAUGGCCGAGAGGCUGAACCAGCCAAGUCGCGUGAGGGAUGAAGGUUCUAUGGAUCGUAAACCUCUUUUAUAAGGGAAUAAAGUGCGGGACGUGUCCCGUUUUGUAUGUACCUUAUGAAUAAGGAUCGGCUAACUCCGUGCCAGCAGCCGCGGUAAUACGGAGGAUCCGAGCGUUAUCCGGAUUUAUUGGGUUUAAAGGGUGCGUAGGCGGCCUUUUAAGUCAGCGGUGAAAGUCUGUGGCUCAACCAUAGAAUUGCCGUUGAAACUGGGGGGCUUGAGUAUGUUUGAGGCAGGCGGAAUGCGUGGUGUAGCGGUGAAAUGCAUAGAUAUCACGCAGAACCCCGAUUGCGAAGGCAGCCUGCCAAGCCAUUACUGACGCUGAUGCACGAAAGCGUGGGGAUCAAACAGGAUUAGAUACCCUGGUAGUCCACGCAGUAAACGAUGAUCACUAGCUGUUUGCGAUACACUGUAAGCGGCACAGCGAAAGCGUUAAGUGAUCCACCUGGGGAGUACGCCGGCAACGGUGAAACUCAAAGGAAUUGACGGGGGCCCGCACAAGCGGAGGAACAUGUGGUUUAAUUCGAUGAUACGCGAGGAACCUUACCCGGGUUUGAACGCAUUCGGACCGAGGUGGAAACACCUUUUCUAGCAAUAGCCGUUUGCGAGGUGCUGCAUGGUUGUCGUCAGCUCGUGCCGUGAGGUGUCGGCUUAAGUGCCAUAACGAGCGCAACCCUUGCCACUAGUUACUAACAGGUUAGGCUGAGGACUCUGGUGGGACUGCCAGCGUAAGCUGCGAGGAUGGCGGGGGUGACGUCAAAUCAGCACGGCCCUUACAUCCGGGGCGACACACGUGUUACAAUGGCGUGGACAAAGGGAUGCCACCUGGCGACAGGGAGCGAAUCCCCAAACCACGUCUCAGUUCGGAUCGGAGUCUGCAACCCGACUCCGUGAAGCUGGAUUCGCUAGUAAUCGCGCAUCAGCCAUGGCGCGGUGAAUACGUUCCCGGGCCUUGUACACACCGCCCGUCAAGCCAUGGGAGCCGGGGGUACCUGAAGUCCGUAACCGAAAGGAUCGGCCUAGGGUAAAACUGGUGACUGGGGCUAA